rnacentral:rRNA from 2 species
UGGGGAAUAUUGGACAAUGGGCGCAAGCCUGAUCCAGCCAUGCCGCGUGAGUGAUGAAGGCCCUAGGGUUGUAAAGCUCUUUCACCGGUGAAGAUAAUGACGGUAACCGGAGAAGAAGCCCCGGCUAACUUCGUGCCAGCAGCCGCGGUAAUACGAAGGGGGCUAGCGUUGUUCGGAUUUACUGGGCGUAAAGCGCACGUAGGCGGACUAUUAAGUCAGGGGUGAAAUCCCGGGGCUCAACCCCGGAACUGCCUUUGAUACUGGUAGUCUUGAGUUCGAGAGAGGUGAGUGGAAUUCCGAGUGUAGAGGUGAAAUUCGUAGAUAUUCGGAGGAACACCAGAGGCGAAGGCGGCUCACUGGCUCGAUACUGACGCUGAGGUGCGAAAGCGUGGGGAGCAAACAGG